AACCGGGAUGAGCUCAAAUUUAAAAUCUGGCGUCUUUCAGGCGUCCGAGUUGUAAUCUAUAGAGGCGUUUUCCGCGCCGGACCGCGUCCAAGUCUCUUGGAAUAGAGUAUCAAAGAGGGUGACAAUCCCGUACUUGACGCGACAACCGGUGCUCUGUGAUACGUUCUCAAUGAGUCGAGUUGUUUGGGAAUGCAGCUCUAAAUGGGUGGUAAAUUCCAUCUAAGGCUAAAUAUUGGCGAGAGACCGAUAGCGAACAAGUACCGUGAGGGAAAGAUGAAAAGCACUUUGGAAAGAGAGUUAAACAGCACGUGAAAUUGUUAAAAGGGAAACGAUUGAAGUCAGUCGUGUGAAAGGUAUUCAGCCGUCUCUGGCGGUGUAUUUGCCUUUCACGGGUCAACAUCAGUUUGAUCCGGUAGAAAAAGGCGGGAGGAAGGUGGCACCCUCGGGUGUGUUAUAGCCUCCUGUCAUAUGUGCCGGACCAGACUGAGGAACGCAGCUUGCCGCAAGGCCGGGGUUCGCCCACGUACAAGCUUAGGAUGUUGACAUAAUGGCUUUAAACGACCCGUCUU
rnacentral:rRNA from 1 species